rnacentral:miRNA from 1 species
UGUAACAGUAAGCUGACGUGACA